GGGUUGAAAUUUUGCAGGGUUGUUGAAAUCAAAUUUAGGGACUUUACUGACGGGACUCUGGGCUGGCUGCUCUGUUCACUCGUCAGCGCAAGUGGCGUGACCAUGUAAUUGGGGCACGGGGUAGGCGCGGCGCGCUGCGGGCUUGCAGAAUUUUGUUUGUUUGUUUGGCCGCGCGCUGGCGCAGCCACGGGCCGCAGUUACUGGGGCGCGCUGUCGUAACAAGCCGCGCGGUGUGGCCUGCACAUUGGGGUAGAGGGGGGGUAGUCUUCCCAGAUGUUCUAGUUAGUUGUUUAGUAAAUUUGACUUCAAUAACGAGCUUUUGUUAUGGUAGGCGCGGCAGGGCGCGCGAAUUUAAGCGCAAGUGAGUGGUGACUCGGGGCUCACUCAGGCGGAGGCUAUGCGUCUCACCUGUGGUCACGAGUUGUUAGUUCGUUCGUGAUGUAGGAAUUCAGGCUCACUCAGGCGGAGGCUAUGCGUCUCACCUGUGGUCACGAGUUGUUAGUUCGUUCGUGAUUUAGGAAUUCAAGCUUUCGGGCGGAAGCUAUGGUCGACGCCAGAGGCCACGAGUCGUUUAAUUUAAGUUAGGUCAUAAUGUAGUCGUCAAGCUUUCGGGCGGAGGCUAUGGCCCUCGUCAGGGGUCACGCGUCAUAGUUUUUAAAAUGUAAUGUUCGUUCGGGAUUUCAAGGGCAGGAGAGGCCCCUACGUUAUUUUUUUAAAGUAAUCGAUCAAGAAAGGCUUUUCGGAAAAUGUGAGUAUGGACUUAUCUUUGUUUUAAUUUUAAGUAUUAAUUAUGAUUUGAGGUAUUCGGAAGGACUAGGGAAGUGUUUAGUGAAGUUCUCUCAUUCUCUCUCUUGUAAGGUCGUUCAAUCGUUAAGGAAGUAAAGAGAUUAUUGUUUUAAAUUGUAAUCCCGCUAUUUAAAUGUUCUUUAAAAUGAUGUUGAGUAUUUGACUUUAAGAAUAAAAUAAUUUUAAUUAAGUAUUAUGUUAUUUUGCAAAAUCUCCUUAGUUCAGCUCUCACCAGACAUCCUGUACGGGAUGACGAACCUAUGAUCCUAGGUACAGUAAAGUAUUUUAUGAAGUUAAGACUAGUUGAUGCCAAGCGAGUUGUUUCUAUGUAAAGAGCUACGAUUCUCUCCCCCCUCUGAAGGUGGAUCGUGACAGAAAUGGCGGUGGCACCGGCUAGGUGCACGUGAAAGAAAUGGUAGAGUUCGCCGGAUAGGUUCUAUUUCUGGAGAGAGAGAGAGGUAGAUUUUUAUGUUUAUUAUUAAGUUAGUUUCAGCUUCUGAUAGCAGGUUACUAAGAGUUUACUUGAGGAGAGGAUUACGGAAUUUUAGUCUAUAGUGGAGGAAGUCUUUGAGAUUUUUUUUUUGACGUAACAGAUGUUUAUUUGAGGAUACUUGUAAGGAUAAAGUUUAUAGUGAUAAGUUGUUUUAAGUCGUUGAAUUUAUUGUAGAUUUAUAUCGGGGAUUAUUACGUGAGGAGAAUACGUUAUAAGUUAAAUGCUUAUUAGAGAUAAUGCAAGUGGUUUAAUUUAAUUGAAGUUCAUUUUAAGAUUGUAGGUUAAGAGAAUUAUAAUUUAAAAUAAAGUUUUUUGUCGUAAAUAGGAAUUAUUUUCAAGAGAAGUUUGUUUUGUUUUCGUGCGCGUAGGAGACGAGACGUACGAAUUAAAUCAGUCGAGGGAAGGAUAAACGUUAGAAAGGAAUUAAAGAGAAAACGAGAGUUUAUGUAAAAGAGAGUUAUAGAAUUUAUAGUGAUGUUUUGUUUUAAUUAGAAAAAUGUUGAGAGUUGUUUCAGAACGACACGUCAGUGGACGUGGCAGAAUGAACACGAGACGGGGAGGUGCUGAGACCUAGCGGAGAACGGAGGAACCGCAAGCGAGGGUUGGCGCACCUGAUGGAAUUCGGUGACGUCACGGGCUCAUAAGGAGACGUGGACAGGCCGUGACCUUGUUUUGAUCAGCUGUACGGUAACUUAGCGAUAAGAAAAUAGACUAUUGGUUAAAUAAAUUUAAAUUUAAGUGUGUUUUAGAAGAAGAGGAACUUUCAGUAUAUUCCUUAAGAUGAGCUGAGCAGCAGUCCAGUUUACAAGAUGACAAGAGUUCGAGAGACAAGAUACAAGAUCACUGAAACAAGAGCCAAGACUGAAGAUUCAAGAGAAGAGAAAGCUGGCAGCCAUGGACUUACAAGUGGAGAUUAAUAAGGUCAUGUAAAGUUUUAUUUUUUUUUAUGGAAGACAGUAACUGGAGUUUUUUUUUGUUAUAAACAUUAUUUACAGAACUUUUUAGGUUAUAGUAAUGUAAUGGAACUAGUGAGUUGUGGUAGCUGUCAAAAAGAACUAAUACCUUAAGUUUAAUUUUUAAAGUUAAUUUUCUUAAUUUACAGAGGGAUUAGUAGUUUUUUUUUUAAAACCUUAUUUAGGUUGGAAUUUAAAUACAAUAGCUUAUUAUAAAUGUGUACGAACAGUUCAAGUUCACAGUACUGAUAGGUAGGUCAGAUGAUCUUAUUGAUUUUGAUGAUUUGUUGUUUUGAGUUGAUUUUUAAGUGUUGUGAAUUAGACAAUGAAAUAGUUCUGAAAACUUAAAUUAUUUCAAGCUAAGAAAUAGUAAAGUUAAUUGUAACUCAAAGGACACCAGAAUUUAAUUUUUUUUUGAAUUAGUAAUGUUUGAAAAUUUUAUACUUUACAAGAAAGGUUAUAAACAAACAGAUCGGAUGGAACAAGGAUGCAGUAAAUCACAAUUUCAUUUAGAAUUAUUGAUUAGCUUUUGAGGUUAUGAAGUAAAAGUAAUUAUAGUUUAAAAGUUUGAAUAAAAAAAAAUGUUUUUUUUUUAUUUGUUUCAAAUAGAAAGUUUAAAAGUUAAUUAGUCAUGAUCUAGGUGGGUGAUGGGGUGGGAAUUGGCCACUCUUUUUCCCUAUAACCUCCCUAACAUGGCCUUCUAUUACAACUAACAGAAAUAAAGAAGAAGAAAAAUGAAGAAUUAUUAGUUAGAAUGUUUCUUUCAUGAAGAUACCUGAUGAACUUUUACUGUUUGGAAGAAUAGAAGCAAGGUUAGUCAGAUAUUUUUACUCAGAAGAAGAAGAAGAUAAAGCAGUUUUAUGACUCGACAAGCCAGAGAUUGGUGUUUCCCCUCUGCGCUUCUAUUGACUACGUUGUUUACUCUCAUGGGAUAGCUGGUUCGGCACCAUGGAGAGAGAUUGGUGGGCAUUGUGGUUGCCCCCAGAAGAAAAGAAGAGUAGAAGAGGUUAUGGGUGGGCCAUGUGAACUGACCUUCAACCCAGUUACUUCGUGGGGACUAUUUGCUGUAUAGAGAAGAUCAAGACUCAAGAGUUAGGGAAAAUCAUUGGAGGUCAUGUUUCCCUUCCUUAAGUUUUUCCUAUCAAAUUAUUUGCCUGAUUAGAUUAUGCUAAGGGUGGGAUACUUUAUGUUAGCAGUUGAAUUAAUUAAUUUUAUUUUUUUGUGUGUUUGCAUCCUUGCCCAUCGAUUGCAGUUUAGUAGUUAGUUUUGUAUUUGUCAGGCGUGAUGGUAAUGCCUGUUGAUGAUGUUUCAGAAUUGUAAUCUGUUCGUGAUGAGGAUGGCACAACUCCGAAGCAGAUGUGGGGAGAAGUUGUGAGCUGCCCUGGAAGCCAGUCCAGUAGCUGUUGGAGUUGAGUGGUGUUUGCUGAUGGCCAGCCCAGGGAGCUACUCUUCUCGACAACACUGACUUCGAGGAGUUGCACCAACCUUCACGAGAUAAGAGUUUAAUUAAUUGAAACACUGUAAGGACACUUAAUUUUUUUUGAAGAACGAAAGAAGUAUGGUAAUAAACGGAAACCGAAAAAAAAAAAA